UGCAAGUCGAACGGUGAAGCCCAGCUUGCUGGGUGGAUCAGUGGCGAACGGGUGAGUAACACGUGAGCAACCUGCCCCUGACUCUGGGAUAAGCGCUGGAAACGGCGUCUAAUACUGGAUACGAGACGUGACCGCAUGGUCAACGUUUGGAAAGAUUUUUCGGUUGGGGAUGGGCUCGCGGCCUAUCAGCUUGUUGGUGAGGUAAUGGCUCACCAAGGCGUCGACGGGUAGCCGGCCUGAGAGGGUGACCGGCCACACUGGGACUGAGACACGGCCCAGACUCCUACGGGAGGCAGCAGUGGGGAAUAUUGCACAAUGGGCGGAAGCCUGAUGCAGCAACGCCGCGUGAGGGAUGACGGCCUUCGGGUUGUAAACCUCUUUUAGCAGGGAAGAAGCGAAAGUGACGGUACCUGCAGAAAAAGCGCCGGCUAACUACGUGCCAGCAGCCGCGGUAAUACGUAGGGCGCAAGCGUUAUCCGGAAUUAUUGGGCGUAAAGAGCUCGUAGGCGGUUUGUCGCGUCUGCUGUGAAAUCUGGGGGCUCAACCCCCAGCCUGCAGUGGGUACGGGCAGACUAGAGUGCGGUAGGGGAGAUUGGAAUUCCUGGUGUAGCGGUGGAAUGCGCAGAUAUCAGGAGGAACACCGAUGGCGAAGGCAGAUCUCUGGGCCGUAACUGACGCUGAGGAGCGAAAGGGUGGGGAGCAAACAGGCUUAGAUACCCUGGUAGUCCACCCCGUAAACGUUGGGAACUAGUUGUGGGGUCCAUUCCACGGAUUCCGUGACGCAGCUAACGCAUUAAGUUCCCCGCCUGGGGAGUACGGCCGCAAGGCUAAAACUCAAAGGAAUUGACGGGGACCCGCACAAGCGGCGGAGCAUGCGGAUUAAUUCGAUGCAACGCGAAGAACCUUACCAAGGCUUGACAUAUACGAGAACGGGCCAGAAAUGGUCAACUCUUU
rnacentral:rRNA from 1 species